CUUCUCGUAGCGGCGGCUGAAUCCUUCUCCAGCGGUGGCGGAAUCCUUCUCCUGCAGCGGCGCAGGUCUCGCUCGGUGUAGUUGGAGACACUCGUAUCAUAAAGCACUUUUGUAGAUCUUCCCCGUGGUCAUUAGAGGUGACAUCUAAUAUUUUUUUUCCCCUCUUGUUCUACAAGCUAUUUGAAGAAAAAUGUUCCGCUCUAAGUCAGAUUCCUCCGCGUGACGAUGAUGAUGAUGGCGACAAUGAUAACGAUGAUGCUGGUGAUGCUAUUUCAUGAUUUUAAUUAUGAUUGGUGAGGCGAAAUAUGUAUCGGA